AGCUUUGCGCAGUGGCAGUGUCGUAGCCGAUGAGGUUUAUCUGAGGCGCCAUUAUUGCUAAUUAAAAUCCUAGUGGCACAACCCUAAGAAGGUGGCAAAAGGAAGGUUAGGAAAACUUGCUAACUGG
rnacentral:snRNA from 1 species